rnacentral:rRNA from 1 species
UAGGGAAUCUUCGGCAAUGGGGGGAACCCUGACCGAGCAACGCCGCGUGAGUGAAGAAGGUUUUCGGAUCGUAAAGCUCUGUUGUUAAGGAAGAACGAGUGUGAGAAUGGAAAGUUCAUGCUGUGACGGUACUUAACCAGAAAGGGACGGCUAACUACGUGCCAGCAGCCGCGGUAAUACGUAGGUCGCGAGCGUUGUCCGGAUUUAUUGGGCGUAAAGCGAGCGCAGGCGGUUAGAAAAGUCUGAAGUGAAAGGCAGUGGCUCAACCAUUGUAGGCUUUGGAAACUGUUUAACUUGAGUGCAGAAGGGGAGAGUGGAAUUCCAUGUGUAGCGGUGAAAUGCGUAGAUAUAUGGAGGAACACCGGUGGCGAAAGCGGCUCUCUGGUCUGUAACUGACGCUGAGGCUCGAAAGCGUGGGGAGCGAACAGG